rnacentral:rRNA from 1 species
GACGAACGCUGGCGGCGUGCUUAACACAUGCAAGUCGAACGGAAAGGCCCUGCUUUUGUGGGGUGCUCGAUUGGCGAACGGGUGAGUAACACGUGAGUAACCUGCCCUUGACUUUGGUAUAACUUCAGGAAACUGGGGCUAAUACCGGAUAGGAGCUCCUGCUCCAUGGUGGGGGUUGGAAAGUUUCGGCUGUUGGGGAUGGACUCGCGGCUUAUCAGCUUGUUGGUGGGGUAGUGGCUUACCAAGGCUUUGACGGGUAGCCGGCAUGAGAGGGUGACCGGCGUCAAUGGGACUGAGAGAGGGACCAGACGCCUAUGGGAGGCAGUAGGGGGGAAUAUGGCACAAUGGGAGGAAGUCGGAGGAAGAGACGCCGGGGGCGGGAUGACGGCCUGUGGGUUGUAAACAGCUGUAGCCUGUGACGAAGCGUGAGUGACGGUAAUGGGUAAAGAAGCACCGGCUAACUACGUG